CCCGCCGGCGACCGGCGCACGGGUGAGUAACACGUAUGCAACCUGGCCGCCACAGGGGGAUAACCCGCGGAAACGCGGCCUAAUACCCCGUGACGCCACCGGAGGUCAUCCUCCGGUGGCCAAAGGAGCGAUCCGGUGGCGGAUGGGCAUGCGGCGCAUUAGCUAGACGGCGGGGUGACGGCCCACCGUGGCGACGAUGCGUAGGGGUUCUGAGAGGAAGGCCCCCCACACUGGGACUGAGACACGGCCCAGACUCCUACGGGAGGCAGCAG
rnacentral:rRNA from 1 species